GAACGCGCAUGAGGAACGUGUCAAUGCAGGGCUGCGUCGGAUGAGCGCCCUGCAGUCAGCGUGGGCCUGGGAAACCGCCUGGAGACCUCGGCUCUUCUCCUGCGAUGCCUUUAGAAGAGAGCCCUGGUGGAUCGGAGAAAAAGCAACUGAGGAUGGGACUUGGCAUUCUUAGCAUUCUAUGUGGAAUAAACAGGAUCCAUCUGGGCUGUCUGAGGCAUUCCAGCUUCCCAUUCCCCCGUUCAGGCAGAGCGUAACCAGGGGGUCCAGUGCCCGGGAAGUUACCGAAAGGUCACUAGUUUGAAUCUCCGAGCUGACACGGACACUCUCAGUCACUGCAUGUGGACCUGAAGCCAUGGACCACGCUCCAGGACCACCUGGCCUGCCUGACGCCCGGCCAUCCCAGUACACCGUCCAGCUGAUCUUUUGGUUGAUACGUGGUCUUGGCUUCUAACCUCUGCCUGUGAAAAGCCAACUGACAUUUCCAUCUUCUCCAGACGCGUUGACUUUGCGCCAUCUAUGACCCAGUUGACUAUUUUUGAAAGCACGGCAUUAAAAGCCAACUGACAUUCACAUUUACUCCUCAGAAGUAAAAUGUUUUCGAUCCGCUGAUCAUGUGACCUAUUUGAACAUCUUAAUUAAUAAUCAGGGAUUAUUUACUAUUUCUCGGUCUCCGCCAUUGCCAGAAGAGGACUGGCCACUGUUGAUUUCUUUUUGGGGUCUUAAGUUAGGUAUCUGUAGACCUGGACAUCCCGUCAACAAAACAGCUAAAUCUUUUGAUUGCACUCAGAGAACCAUCUUGGCAGAGCUAUAACAAAUGUGGUUGAAAACACCUUUUGAAAGUGAACCAUUUACCUUGACAUCUUGAUAGGUAAGAAACGAUCCAAUCCCUGAUGACUUCAAUUUGACAUCACGUGAACAACUGCAAUGUAAGUACCCGUCAGUUUAUGUCAACUGGCAGCAGUAUAAGCACCUGU